GACGAACCGAGCGAACGUUAUUCGGAAUCACUGGGCUUAAAGGGCGCGUAGGCGGGCGGCCAAGUCGAGGGUGAAAGCCCCCAGCUCAACUGGGGAAGUGCCUCCGAUACUGGCCGCCUCGAGGGAGGUAGGGGCGUGCGGAACUUCCGGUGGAGCGGUGAAAUGCGUAGAUAUCGGAAGGAACACCGGUGGCGAAAGCGGCGCGCUGGACCUCUUCUGACGCUGAGGCGCGAAAGCCAGGGGAGCGAACGGG
rnacentral:rRNA from 1 species